CAUUCCCAGAAGUACAACAGUGUGAUGGGGCUGUUAUCACUUAGACCAGCUAGAGGGUGGUUUCUGAUCUAGCUCCAAAUGCCAUCCAUCUAAACCUGCAGAAAUUAACCUCUGCAUCUUUUGAGAUGUAUUCAAAUCUACAGGCCUGAAAAGAUGCCCUGCGUUUCCCCAUAUGUCAGAGUAGUGAGGUCAGCAUGAAUUCCAAGUCCUGAAGCCACAGAGCUGAAGUGCAAACUUGGAGCUUGGGCUGUGGAUUGUUUCAGUGAUUCUACUAAGUCUGGCUUACAAGGGUAUUACUUUAAUCUACCAAUGACUUCCUUGCAUAUACAUGUAAUAAUAUACAUCAUCCUGAGUUCCUGGUCAUGCAUACGGCUGCUCAGCUAUGCACAGCCACCUUAUCAGUCAGGCUUCAGUGGUGGUGACUCUGUUGAAAAAAUGGAAGCAAUGAUAAGGAAAAGGCAGUAGAAACUGGAAAUGCUGUUUGCUGCGAACAGUGCCCCAGCUGAGUCCAGGCCAGACUGGACCUGAGCUCACUGAAGGAUAAGGGUCUGACUUCUUUUCCACCUGGUUCUCUGGUGUUUCUGCAUUGCCGGCCAGGGUUGGUGAUCAGCACCUGGACGUGCAGCUAUGGCUGUAAUUCACAGAUGUUAUCUGGGUCCAAUGGAAUCAAGGGGCAGAGCCAGGUUCGAAGUGGAUGCCGUGGCUGAACAUCACGGCUCACUCAGCCGCCCAACAGAGACCAUCUGGAUCGGGUUCUGUUCGUCCACCUGAGUUGGAAAACUCUGCCACAAGGAUGACGCCGGGCAGUGUGCAGGUCGUUCAGAGCUGCCGGGGGCUGCAGUGCUCCUCAUGGUCACUAAAGCUGUGAAGGUAAAGCAGCGGUUGCUGAGCUGUGCCCUGGAGACUGACAGCUUCCAGCAUUCCCAGCUGCUCCGUGCUGUGCAGUGCAUGGACUGUUUGCAGCACACUUGGUUUGCCAGAGCUCCAUCAGAGCACCACUCUGCCCACUGCACCGACUGAUGAACGCGUAAAUCAAAACUGCGGUUCAAGAAAAACCUUCUGCUCUACCAGACUUGUCUGCAGCAGAAAAAGGAGGCCCGUGUGGGUCAGUGCAGUGUGCCUUCCGAUGUGGGAGAGCUGGGCCCAGCGCAGCCCCGGGCUGCAGCUCCAGACCCACACUGACAGCACUGAGCACUGCCCACACAGCCACGAGGAAUUGUUCUGUCUGACACUUCCCCGAAUGGAAAACCUAAUUCAGCCAACGCAGCACUGAGACUGUGACAGGAAAUUUCCUCCACGAUCUUUCAGGGACCGCAGAACUCUGCUGCAGUCCCAAAAAUGGCACUUCGUAUUUCUGCAAAGCUGUGGAGCCCUGAUCCUCACAGCCCUAUCCGGUGACAAAUCUGUGCCACUCACAUGGAUUUUCCCCUGCAUCUUUCCAGCGUGCGUUUGCUUUUAUGCCUCAGGAAACAGAAAGUCUCCCAUCCUGGUUUCCACCUCCCAUCAGUCAUGCAUGUCUGGUGUUGCCUCCAGGAUCUGAGUGGGGGCUGCCGUACACAGUGUACUUUGCAGCUCGGUUUGAGAGCCCUACCAGGAACCAUGCUCAGAACAACAGGAAGCUCUUCCACCCUCCCUCCCCCGCCCCCUUUUUUCUGUUCCUCUGCUGCAGAAACUUUCUGAUGCUCAGAUCACAGCCGUCUCUGCAGGGUUAACUGCAGCAUUUGUCACUGGAAAAAAAAAGAGAAAAGAAAAAAAGAGACCCUUUAAAAGCAGAUGGUGGGUGAUAGGGAACCUGUCUGAGAGUAAAUAUCUACAGCAGCAUGUCUGCUUCAUCAGAUAUUAGCAUCAAAAGCCGUCUGACGAUUUAGCAACAAACAGCAAUAUUGAUUUUCUUCCAAACCGCAGACAUGGAAGGAACCACAGAGUUGGUUCCUUCAUAGCACCCCGUCACAGCUGGGCAAACAGUGAGGCAGGAGCCGGGCAGUGCCUCCCAGGGCUGGAGGCGAUGCAGGAACACCGGGAUGCUCCUGCUCAGCAACAGUGUGUGCCACACAGAGCAGCACUGCGCCGGGGCCGGGCUGCUGCCACUGCAGCAAACAGGAGCUGCUGGGUGGGCUGUGAAGGAGCCAGGAGGUGCAGCUCACUUCUCUGGCUGUUUUCAGACACAUUAAUUAAUUGCUACAACACAGACCGGCAGUAAUAGCUGCCACUCCACCUGUGCCGCCCUCAGCAGCCAGCCUGACUUUUUUGACCCUGGCAAUCUGGAAGAAUUCCACCAGAGAACUGAGAUGCAAUGCUUUUUCCCUUUGUUCUCUGUCCUACUAACUCCAUUUUCAUCCGUUGGUGGAAAGGGUUGCUCACGGCCAGCAGCCAGGUCCUGGGAGCACUUCGUGAUGACAAAUGUUUGGUAUUUUCACUUCUGUGGAGAACAGCGUCCUUAUUUUCUGAUUUGAACUCACCACAACUGUUGGUCUCACAUCAGUUGUGUACACUUCUCCCCUGUCUCUCGCUCUGAAAUGCCAGUGAAUCUGGGAAUUUUUGCUCAGAGAUGUGGGGAGCUAACAGGGAUUUCUGGCACAGCCCACAGCGUUCACAGCUACCAAAGCAUCAGCAAAACAGCACAGAGACAUGCGGGCACUGGGACGCACUGAGGUCCAUCUGCUGCUCAUGAAGAGGUAUUCAGAGGGUCGCUGCUAAAGCCGGGGCACAAUGGGACAGUUCAAUCUUCUCUUCGUGAGCACUCACACGGCCGUGCCCAGCCCUGGCCAUGGGCACAUCCCCAGUGCUCAGAAAGCAAGGCAGGAAAUAGAGAACAGCUCAUGAGCAAACUGAGAAAUGUGUUCCUGGCACAAAUGGGCAGAGUUCCAUUAACUUUCAGUUCUGUGCACCGGGAAGAACUGAGCUGGAUAUCGACUCUGACCUAGUUGAUGUUCUUUACAGCAGCAUCACUGUAUUGUUAAAAUACUAUCUUAAGAGCCAAUUUUUGGUUGUUGUCUUCAUUUUUUUUUUUCACCCUAGAGAAAACCGGUGGGGUAAACUUCUAUUAAAUGAAUGUGAAAAAUUGA
rnacentral:lncRNA from 1 species